CGGGGGGGCAAGCGUUGUUCGGAAUUACUGGGCGUAAAGGGCGCGUAGGCGGCCUGCUAAGUCGGACGUGAAAUCCCUCGGCUCAACCGGGGAACUGCGUCCGAUACGUGGUGGGCUCGAAUCCGGGAGAGGGAUGUGGAAUUCCAGGUGUAGCGGUGAAAUGCGUAGAUAUCUGGAGGAACACCGGUGGCGAAGGCGGCAUCCUGGACCGGUAUUGACGCUGAUGCGCGAAAGCCAGGGGAGCAAACGGGAUUAGAUACCCCGGUAGUCCUGGCCCUAAACGAUGAGUGCUUGGUGUGGCGGGUAUCGGAUCCCUGCCGUGCCGAAGCUAACGCAUUAAGCACUCCGCCUGGGGAGUACGGUCGCAAGGCUG
rnacentral:rRNA from 1 species